rnacentral:rRNA from 1 species
GACGAACGCUGGCGGCGUGCUUAACACAUGCAAGUCGAACGGAAAGGCCCUGCUUUUGUGGGGUGCUCGAGUGGCGAACGGGUGAGUAACACGUGAGUAACCUGCCCUUGUCUUUGGGAUAACUUCAGGAAACUGGGGCUCAUACCGGAUAGGAGCUCCUGCUGCACGGUGGGCGUUGGUAAGUUUCGGCGGUUGGGGCUGGACUGGCGGCUUAUCAGCUUGAUGGUGAGGUAGUGGCUUACCAAGGUUUUGAAGGAUAGCCGGCCUGGGAGGGGGACCGGCGUCAAUGGGACUGAGGGAGGCAGCAGACUGCAACGGGACGCAGCAGGGGGGAAUAUUGCACAGUGGGCGGGAGUCUGUGACAGCGGCGCUGCGUGCGUAAAGACGGCUUUCGAGGGGUGAACCGCUUUCGACUGUGAUAAGGCGGGAGUGACGGUAAUGGGUAAAGAAGCACCGGCUAACUACGUG